GUAGUCAUAUGCUUGUCUCAAAGAUUAAGCCAUGCAUGUCUAAGUAUAAGCAACUUUGUACUGUGAAACUGCGAAUGGCUCAUUAAAUCAGUUAUAGUUUAUUUGAUGGUUUUUGCUACAUGGAUAACUGUGGUAAUUCUAGAGCUAAUACAUGCAAGCAAGCUCCGACCCGGCCGGUCGUUGCUCUCGGGUGGCGGCCGGAUUUGGGAAAGAGCGCGUUUAUUAGAUCAAAACCAAUCGGGCCUUUACCGGUCCGUACGUUUGGUGACUCUGGAUAACUUCGAGCUGAUCGCAUGGCCUCGUGCCGGCGACGUAUCUUUCAAGUGUGUGCCCUAUCAACUGUCGAUGGUAAGUGAUAUGCUUACCAUGGUGGCAACGGGUAACGGGGAAUA
rnacentral:rRNA from 1 species